rnacentral:rRNA from 1 species
UACGUAGGGGGCAAGCGUUGUCCGGAUUUAUUGGGCGUAAAGAGCGUGUAGGCGGCUAGAUAGGUCCGUUGUGAAAACUCGAGGCUCAACCUCGAGACGUCGAUGGAAACCAUCUGGCUAGAGUCCGGAAGAGGAGAGUGGAAUUCCUGGUGUAGCGGUGAAAUGCGCAGAUAUCAGGAAGAACACCCGUGGCGAAGGCGGCUCUCUGGGACAGUACUGACGCUGAGACGCGAAAGCGUGGGAGCGAACAGG